rnacentral:rRNA from 1 species
AUUGAACGCUGGCGGCAGGCCUAACACAUGCAAGUCGAACGGUAGCACAGAGAGCUUGCUCUCGGGUGACGAGUGGCGGACGGGUGAGUAACGUCUGGGAAACUGCCCGAUGGAGGGGGAUAACUACUGGAAACGGUAGCUAAUACCGCAUAACGUCGCAAGACCAAAGUGGGGGACCUUCGGGCCUCACACCAUCGGAUGUGCCCAGAUGGGAUUAGCUAGUAGGUGGGGUAAUGGCUCACCUAGGCGACGAUCCCUAGCUGGUCUGAGAGGAUGAACAGCCACACGGGAACUGAGCAACGGUCCAGACUCCUACGGGAGGCAGCAGGGGGGAAUAUUGCACAAUGGGCGCAAGCCUGAUGCAGCCAUGCCGCGUGUAUGAAGAAGGCCUUCGGGUUGUAAAGUACUUUCAGCGGGGAGGAAGGCGGUGAAGUUAAUAGCUUCACCGAUUGACGUUACCCGUAGAAGAAGCACCGGCUAACUCCGUGCCAGCCGCCGCUGUAA